UUUAAAUAUUUUUUUUUUUCAAGAUUCGCGGGACCUUAUUAAAUCACAUUCAAAUAUGCAAACAUUCCCAAGUCGUGUGGACUUGGACAAAGUUUAUUUUUAUUAUCUAUUUUUAGAUUAUGGACCCUGGGCUUAUGAGUUGGGGCUAAAAUCAAGGAUAAAAUACUUGAUACAUCCCCAUAGACAAAAAUCUUGUUCUACAGACCACAACAGCAAGAUCAUGGAGGUGACCAUUCUACAUUGAUCCAGUGCCUUUUUAUGGGAUUCGAAACUGUGACUGUGAGAUGUAUGAGAGUUUGACUUCUAGGCGGGCAAUUCUACUUUCACUUUAAACGGAUGGCAGGUGCCUGAGUGUAUCUCGACCCAUUUCCAGGCUAGCAUCAGAUGUCAUGAUGGACCUUUAAAAUCUUUCACAUGUGUACUUUCAAGAACCAUAUACAUUAUUUUUGAAAAUUGGUUGCCAUGGUAAUAAAAUCUGAAAAUUAAAACAUGGGCUUCUGAA